CCUACGGGUGGCAGCAGUGAGGAAUAUUGGUCAAUGGCCGGAAGGCUGAACCAGCCAUGCCGCGUGAAGGUCAGUGGCCUAUGGGCGUUAAACUUCUUUUGUGCGGGAGCAAUAAUGGUCACGUGUGAACAGCCGCGAUUAACGUAAGCAUAAGCAUCGGCUAACUCCGUGCCAGCAGCCGCGGUAAUACGGGGGGUGCAAGCGUUAUCCGGAUUUAUUUGGGGUAAAGGGUGCGUAGGCUGUGAGGUAAGUCAGCGGUGAAAUGCCCCGGCCCAACGGUGUGAAGUGCCAUUGAUACUGCCUGGCUGGAGUGCGGAUGACGGGGGAGGAAUGUGAGGUGUAGCGGUGAAAUGCGUAGAGAUC
rnacentral:rRNA from 1 species